GCCACCAAUCUUAUGUUUCAACUACUACCUCUCACAAAAGGCUUCAGCUCCAUCUCUGACUACCUUUAACAUGCUAAGUUUAUUGUCAAUUCUCUUGCUACUACAAUCAACCCAUUUCUAAUAAUGAUUUGGUGACCUCUAUGCUUAAGGGUCUUGGGCCUGAUUAUUCGAUGUUUGUCACUGAUGUUCUAAUUUUUUCUCCCUUGCCAGAAUUUCCUGAUCUUCGUUCACGUAUCCUCAACUUUGAGACCUAAACUCGCCCUGAGAAUACGGCCGAGCCAUGCACUUUUUGCUAGUGUUCCUGGUGCUCUUGCCCCUGCCACUAUUAUGCAGCACGUGGCCCAGCCGCCUUAUCCUAUCCUAACACCGUAGCAAGGCAUGUCGUAGCAGCAGCUUGCUAAGCUCAUGGCCCAAACCUGCCACAACUGUAACUGCAACCCUCGUGGGGUCUACAAUAAGCCACGUGGUGACUACAAUAAGAGGUCUAGUAGUGGAUGGGGUUACGGUAGUUGUCGUGGUGGUUGUAGCAAUUAGUAAUCCAACAAUUAGGCCUUCAACACCAAUAACCAAUAUGGUAUUCUUGGUGAUCUUCCUUGUUUUUUGUGUAGCUUUGGCAACUCUCCCGACCAUCACAUCUUCGCUUGUCCUCAUCACCGUACACCUUCUUUUGCAGGCUAUCAUGUUAUUCCUCAUGAUGCUGCUAAUGAUCUCACCUGGUACUUUGAUACGGAAGCUACUCAUCACAUGGCUAUAACGGAGCUGCCCUCCAAGACUCCUCUCCGUAUACGGGUCACUGUAAGGGUCAUCUCUAUCAUGUGUCUUCGUCCUGGCCGUUCCUUGUGGCACUCCCAUCUUGGUCAUCCAACUUCCGAAGUUGUAUCUAAAUUGUCUUUAAGUUUAUGUCUUAAUUAAAUAAGGCGCUUUGUAAGCCUUGUGCAUUCUCUCGGUCGCACAAGCUACCUUUUAAUUCCGAUAUAAUUAAUAGUC